GCAGGAGACUGGAUGCAGCUGGGAACUGCUGAACACAGCCAGCCCCGGGAGCGGUGAGAGGAGACAAGUGACAGCCGCUAGGGAGAACUGGCAGAACUUUACAAGGGGGAGCGCGGUGAGAGUGUGACGCAGCCCAGAGAAGACGCGGUUGGGAGCCCGGAGUCUGCACGGUACCUGCCAGCUAUCCUUCCAGGCAUCGGGAGGAGAAGAGGAGAUCACACUGAGUUCAUGCCACAAUGCCUACAUUCUCAGCAAUUCCCUGUCACAUAAAUAUGAGGUGGAGCAAAUACCAGAGGGAUGGUUGCUGGGCAAAUGAAAUGGAACUGAAAAAACCGUCCAACUUUAGACUUUUAAAAUCGAAUCACAUCGAUAUCGAUUGUCAAAAUGAACACAAAAUCAAAACAAUUGAGUCGAUGUUAAAAUUUAUUCAAAAUUGAUACUUUGUAGAUUUACCCCCUUGGUCUCUAAAACAGAACAUACUGGAAAUAUCAUGCAGCUAUUCUCAAGCUUAGAUGUGGUUAUUAUACAGCGAUAAGAGUACAGGACGUGGGGAAGUUGCAAUAGGUGGAAUGGGGAAAGAGAGAGAAAAUAUA